AUUGAACGCUGGCGGCAGGCCUAACACAUGCAAGUCGAGCGAGCGGCGGGCGAGUGAGUAAUGUGUGGGAAACUGCCUGAGGGGGGGGGAUUACUACUGGGGACGCUAGCUCAUAAUGCAUACCAUUAGACGUGGCCCGAUGGGAUUAGCUAGUAGGUGGGGUAACGGCCAACCGAGGCGACGAUCCCUAGCUGGUCUAAGAGGAUGACCAGCCACACUGGAACUGAGACACGGUCCAGACUCCUACGGGAGGCAGCAGUGGGGAAUAUUGGACAAUGGGCGCAAGCCUGAUGCAGCCAUGCCGCGUGUGUGAAGAAGGCCUUCGGGUUGUAAAGCACUUUAAGCGGGGAGGCGUUACCCGCAGAAGAAGCACCGGCUAACUCCGUGCCAGCCGCCGCGGUAAUUC
rnacentral:rRNA from 1 species